UCUCUGACCCACCUUGCCCUGCAGAACUCACUGCUUCACCCAAUGCUGGCAUCACACUAGCCAGUCCUCACAGUUGGGAGGAUCCGAAGCCCAUGGCUACUGCUGUACCUCUACAGAUGGGAAACUGAGACUGGGAUCUGGGCAUGUGCGGAUGACUUGCCCAAUGUAGCAGGGAGGGGCCCCAGGGAUCAAACUCAGGUUAUCAGGCUUGUGCAGCAAUCACCUCUACCCAAGGCUUGGGAUUUGAACCCACGCUUGGUUGGC